GAUGAACGCUGGCGGCGUGCCUAAUACAUGCAAGUCGAGCGAACAGACGAGGAGCUUGCUCCUCUGACGUUAGCGGCGGACGGGUGAGUAACACGUGGAUAACCUACCUAUAAGACUGGGAUAACUUCGGGAAACCGGAGCUAAUACCGGAUAAUAUAUUGAACCGCAUGGUUCAAUAGUGAAAGACGGUUUUGCUGUCACUUAUAGAUGGAUCCGCGCCGCAUUAGCUAGUUGGUAAGGUAACGGCUUACCAAGGCAACGAUGCGUAGCCGACCUGAGAGGGUGACCGGCCACACUGGAACUGAGAAACGGUCCAGACUCCUAAGGGAGGCAGCAGUAGGGAAUCUUCCACAAUGGGCGAAAACCUGACGGAGCAACGCCGAGUGAGUGAUGAAGGUCUUCGGAUCGUAAAACUCUGUUAUUAGGGAAGAACAAAUGUGUAAGUAACUAUGCACGUCUUGACGGUACCUAAUCAGAAAGCCACGGCUAACUACGUG
rnacentral:rRNA from 1 species